UACGUAGGGGGCAAGCGUUGUCCGGAAUCAUUGGGCGUAAAGAGCGUGUAGGCGGCCCGGUAAGUCCGUUGUGAAAGUCCAGGGCUCAACCCUGGAAAGCCGAUGGAUACUGCCGGGCUAGAGUUCGGAAGAGGCGAGUGGAAUUCCUGGUGUAGCGGUGGAAUGCGCAGAUAUCAGGAGGAACACCGUGUAGAAGGCGGCU
rnacentral:rRNA from 1 species